UACAGAGGUCCCAAGCGUUGUUCGGAUUCAUUGGGCGUAAAGGGUGCGUAGGCGGCUUUGCAAGUCGGGUGUGAAAUCCCCAGGCUUAACCUGGGAACUGCAUUCGAGACUGCAUUGCUAGAGUAUGGGAGAGGGAAGUGGAAUUUCAGGUGUAGCGGUGAAAUGCGUAGAUAUCUGAAGGAACAUCAGUGGCGAAAGCGACUUCCUGGACCAAUACUGACGCUCAUGUGCGAAAGCGUGGGGAGCAAACAGG
rnacentral:rRNA from 1 species